rnacentral:snRNA from 1 species
AGCUUUGCACAGUGGCAGUAUCGUAGCCAGUGAGGUUCAUCCGAGGUGCAAUUAUUGCUGAUUGAAAACUUCUCCCAAUACCCCACCAUGAUGACUUGAAAUAUGGUCGGCACUGGCAAUUUUUGACAGUCUCUACUGAGA